rnacentral:rRNA from 1 species
GAGCACGUAGGUGGGUUUGUAGGUCAGGUGUGAAAGCCUUCUGUUCAAAGGAAGAACGGCAUCUGAAACUGCGAAUCUUGAGUGUAGGAGGGGAGAGUGGAACUUCUGGUGGAGCGGUGAAAUGCGUAGAUAUCAGAAGGAACGUCGGCGGCGAAAGCGACUCUCUGGCCUAUUACUGACACUGAGUGUGCGAAAGUUAGGGGAGCAAACGGGAUUAGAUACCCCGGUAGUCCUAACCGUAAACGAUGGGCACUAAGUAGAGGG